AUAGAUCUUGGAGAAAAACAUGCAAAUCUGGAGGAGAAUGGUGCUGGGGAUUUUUAGAAAGAGAAAGGGAGCGAUUUGAUUUAGAAUAGAGAGAGAAACAAACCCUGUAUCCGGUUAUAAAACGCGGUCUACAGUGAUUUGUACCAGUACACGGGAUUUUGUACUGGUACACUUCGCCAGAUUUCGAAAAUCUGAAUUUAAAAACCCUUUAAAAUUAAACUAAUUUCAUAUAAAUUAAGCACUUUACUCCAACAAUCAUUAUAAUGAAGAUAAAAUAUUAUAAAAUUUCAAAAUACAUCAAAAUAACAAAAUUUUGUUAUCAAAAGUAACCUCUUGUUUCAAAAUCAUCAAGAUGUAACGGUGUACGAAAAAUGAUUUUUAGAAAUUCGACAAAAUUGACACCAAUUUGUCGCAAUUCGUUCAAAAUAGAGAUUUAACUAAUAUGAUACUGGGGGUGGCUCUUUGAGCAUCUUUUCAACUUACCACCUUAUCACUCCGAAAAUUCUAAAAUAUUCAAUUUUUUUUUUCAACCUUUUAGGUUAUUCAAUCUUCAUGUGGUAGCUUCACAUACUUGCCGGACGACCGGGGUGGUAGUUCUUUCUUACAUGUGGUGGUAGUUUUCACACUCCUUUUGGAUGUAACUCUUUCCACAUCUUUUAAGUAUAGGAGUUUCUCCUUUUUUUAAAUUUUUUUUAACAAUUCAAACUCCCUCUAAAUUAGACAACCUCACAAUUGAAAAUAAUUUGACAAAUUUUAGUCUAUUAGCGAAUAUCCAUCGAUCAUAUCCAACACACAC
rnacentral:lncRNA from 1 species